rnacentral:rRNA from 1 species
GACGAACGCUGGCGGCGUGCUUAACACAUGCAAGUCGAACGGAAAGGCCCUGCUUUUGUGGGGUGCUCGGGUGGCGAACGGGUGAGUAACACGUGAGUAACCUGCCCUUGACUUUGGGAUAACUUCAGGAAACUGGGGCUAAUACCGGAUAGGAGCUCCUGCUGCAUGGUGGGGGUUGGAAAGUUUCGGCGGUUGGGGAUGGACUCUCGGCUUAUCAGCUUGUUGGUGGGGUAGUGGCUUACCAAGGCUUUGACGGGUAGCCGGCCUGAGAGGGUGACCGGCCACAUUGGGACUGAGAUACGGCCCAGACUCCUACGGGAGGCAGCAGUGGGGAAUAUUGCACAAUGGGCGGAAGCCUGAUGCAGCAACGCCGCGUGCGGGAUGACGGCCUUCGGGUUGUAAACCGCUUUCGCCUGUGACGAAGCGUGAGUGACGGUAAUGGGUAAAGAAGCACCGGCUAACUACGUG